CAAAGUAGGCACAUCUUUAUUAAAGAUGUCAAAUCUUGCCAGAGAUUCAUUUUCAAUCAGUAGUGAAAACUCGUUCGGACUAGAAAUCAAGUUUUGUCAAUUUAAAUUUAAUAAUAAUUGCGAUGGCUGCGUCGAACUACGACGAAUGUGUUAUAUUGAAAAUGCAACCAGAGAACGAAGGAAAAAUGUGGAUUUUUGUGGUAUUGGCUUUUAACUUUACAAUUAUUCUGGCCGUAAUUAUAGUUCAAGGUAUAAGAGUAAGGAUGCGAUAGGACGAAUAUUACUAAACAAAACUCGACUCGAGAGGCAACAUCUAGCAGGCGAGGAGAAUGUCCUGCAACUCGUUUUAUAGAUCCUGAAAAUACACAAACAAGAAAAGAACAAAUAAAUAUAAAUAAAUAUAUUUAUUUCAUUUUGAUUGUA